UACGGAGGAUCCGAGCGUUUAUCCGGAUUUAUUGGGUUUAAAGGGUGCGUAGGCGGCCUGGUAAGUCAGGGGUGAAAGACGGUAGCUUAACUAUCGCAGUGCCCUUGAUACUGCUGGGGCUUGAAUGUAGUUGAGGUAGGCGGAAUGUGACAAGUAGCGGUGAAAUGCAUAGAUAGUGUCACAGAACACCAAUUUGCGAAGGCAGCUUACUAAAGUAUGAUUGACGCUGAGGCACGAAAGCGUGGGGAUCAAACAGG
rnacentral:rRNA from 1 species